rnacentral:rRNA from 1 species
CGCGUAGGUGGUAGUGUAAGUCUGGGGUGGAAUGCCGGGGCUUAACCCUGGAAUUGCCUUGGAAACUGCAUUACUUGAGUCAGUGAGGGGAGGGUAGAAUUCCUGGUGUAGUGGUGAAAUGCGUAGAUAUCAGGAGGAAGGCCUGUGGCGAAGGCGGCCCUCUGGUGCUGGACUGACACUGAGGCGCGAAAGCGUGGGGAGCAAACAGGAUUAGAUACCCUGGUAGUCCACGCCCUAAACGGUGGGCACUAGGUGUAGGGCUCGUAAGGGUUCUGUGCCGAAGGGAAACCAUUAAGUGCCCCGCCUGGGGAGUACGGCCGCAAGGUUGAA